CCUACGGGUGGCAGCAGUAGGGAAUAUUGGUCAAUGGGGGAAACCCUGAACCAGCAACGCCGCGUGAAGGAUGAAGGCCUUAGGAUUGUUAACCCCUUUUGUUAAAGAAGUUAAUUACGGUACGUACCGAUUUAGCACCGGCUAAAACCGUGCCAGCAGCCGCCGUAAUACGGCGGGUGCAACCGUUAUUCGGAGUCACUGGGCGUAAAGGGUGUGUAGACGGGUUAAUAAGUCAGAUGUGAAAUCCUGUAGCUUAACUACAGAACUGCAUUUGAAACUGUUACUCUGGAGUGUGGGAGAGGUAGGUGGAAUUCGUGGUGUAGCGGUGAAAUGCGUAGAGAUCAAGAAGAACACCGAUUGCGAAGGCAGCCUGCUGGAACGUUACUGACGCUGAUGCACGAAAGCGUGGGGAGCAAACAGGAUUAGAUACCCUAGUAGUC
rnacentral:rRNA from 1 species